UCUAUCACAGGCGUAAGAUAUUUGAGAGGAGUUGCCCCUAGUACGAGAGGACCGGGGUGAAGGAACCGAUGGUGCACCAGUUGUAUCACCAGAUGCAUAGCUGGGUAGCCAAGUUCCGAUGGGAUAAACGCUGAAAGCAUAUAAGUGUGAAGCCCACCUCAAGAUUAGAUAUCUCAUGGCGAAAGUCAGUAAGACCCCAAGAAGACUACUUGGUUGAUAGGCUGGAAGUGUAAGUAUAGUAAUAUAUUAAGCGGACCAGUACUAAUAGGUCGAGGGCUUGACCAA
rnacentral:ncRNA from 1 species